rnacentral:rRNA from 1 species
AGAGUUUGAUCAUGGCUCAGAGCGAACGCUGGCGGCGUGCUUAACACAUGCAAGUCGAACGCGCAGCAAUCUGUAGCAAUACAGGUUGUGGGCGCGUGGCGAACGGGUGCGUAACACGUGGAUAACCUUCCUUCAGGUGGGGAAUAACCCAGUGAAAAUUGGGCUAAUACCGCAUAACAAGACGAUGCCACAUGGUGUUGUCUUCAAAGGCGCAAGUCGCCAGAAGAGGGAUCCGCGGCCGAUUAGCUUGUUGGCGGGGUAAUGGCCCACCAAGGCAUUGAUCGGUAGCCGGACUGAGAGGUUGGCCGGCCACACUGGAACUGAGACACGGUCCAGACUCCUACGGGAGGCAGCAGUGGGGAAUCUUGCACAAUGGACGAAAGUCUGAUGCAGCAACGCCGCGUGGGGGAUGAAGCUUCUCGGAGUGUAAACCCCUUUCGACCUGGAAGAAAGCCCGCAAGGGUCUGACGGUACAGGUAUAAGAAGCCCCGGCUAACUACGUGCCAGCAGCCGCGGUAAUACGUAGGGGGCCAGCGUUGCUCGGAAUUACUGGGCGUAAAGGGUCCGUAGGCGGUGUGGUAAGUCGGGAGUGAAAUCCCUGGGCUUAACCCAGGGGCUGCUUCCGAAACUGCCGUGCUAGAGUGUGAGAGAGGCGAGUGGAAUUACGGGUGUAGCGGUGAAAUGCGUAGAUAUCCGUAGGAACAUCCGAGGCGAAGGCGGCUCGCUGGAUCACAACUGACGCUGAGGGACGAAAGCUAGGGGAGCAAACAGGAUUAGAUACCCUGGUAGUCCUAGCCCUAAACCAUCAGACUUGGGGUUUGCCCUGUACGGGGCAAGUCCCGUAGCUAACGCGUUAAGUCCUGCGCCUGGGGAGUACGGUCGCAAGACUGAAACUCAAAGGAAUUGA